rnacentral:rRNA from 1 species
GAGUUUGAUUAUGGCUCAGAACGAACGCUGGCGGCGCGUCUUAAGCAUGCAAGUCGAACGGUAAGGGAGAGCUUGCUCUCCCCUAGAGUGGCGGACUGGUGAGUAACGCGUGGGUGACCUGCCCUGAAGAUGGGGAUAGCUAGUAGAAAUAUUAGAUAAUACCGAAUGUGCUCAUUUACAUAAAGGUAAAUGAGGAAAGGAGCUACGGCUCCGCUUCAGGAUGGGCCCGCGUCCCAUUAGCUGGUUGGUGAGGUAAAGGCCCACCAAGGCAACGAUGGGUAUCCGGCCUGAGAGGGUGAACGGACACAUUGGGACUGAGAUACGGCCCAAACUCCUACGGGAGGCAGCAGCUAAGAAUCUUCCGCAAUGGACGAAAGUCUGACGGAGCGACGCCGUGUGAAUGAAGAAGGCUGAAAGGUUGUAAAAUUCUUUUGCAGAUGAAGAAUAAACACAGGAGGGAAUGCCCUGUGAGAUGA